CAGAUACCGUGGAAACAUUCCCUGCACCGUGAGCAUCGUUCUGAACCGAACAGAACUGAGAUCUGAACUGAUUAAGUGGAAGUUGUGGAGUGAUUCUUUGGGUAGAAAGCUGUGAGAGAACGAGCGAAACCCUUGCAAUUGGAAGUGCACUACUGAACCAGAUGGUGAGGCGCCACUUGAAGAAAUGCUGGAAGAAGAAAAUUUGGAAGACGCCAACCUUGUUGAAGUAGAGGUUAAAGUCGAGCCCUAGAGCGCUCGUUA